UGGGGAAUUGUUCGCAAUGGGCGCAAGCCUGACGACGCAACGCCGCGUGGAGGAUGAAGGUCUUCGGAUUGUAAACUCCUGUUGAUCGGGACGAACAUCCAUCGGAUCAAUACCCCGAUGGACUGACGGUACCGGUUGAGGAAGCCCCGGCUAACUCUGUGCCAGCAGCCGCGGUAAUACAGAGGGGGCAAGCGUUGUUCGGAAUUACUGGGCGUAAAGGGCGCGUAGGCGGCUUUGCAAGUCGGGUGUGAAAUCCCCAGGCUUAACCUGGGAACUGCACUCGAGACUGCAUUGCUAGAGUAUGGGAGAGGGAAGUGGAAUUUCCGGUGUAGCGGUGAAAUGCGUAGAUAUCGGAAGGAACAUCAGUGGCGAAAGCGACUUCCUGGACCAAUACUGACGCUCAUGUGCGAAAGCGUGGGGAGCAAA
rnacentral:rRNA from 1 species